rnacentral:SRP_RNA from 1 species
GCCAGGCAUGGUGGCGCAUGCCUGUAAUCUCAGCUACUCAGGAGGCUGAGGCAGAAGAAUUGCUUGAAUCCAGGAGGCAGAGGUUGCAGUGAGCCGAGAUCAUGCCACUGCACUCCAGCCUGGGUGACAGAGCAAGACUCUGUCUCAG